UUUUAGCAGUAAAUCAAUGCGUUAGGGAUAGAAGCGGCAUCCUUUUUUUGUAGUUGGGUAGGGCUUUUUCUGCCCUGCCCAACUACAAUAAAAGAUAUAGCGAAUAGCCCGGCCCCUU
rfam:Flavobacterium branchiophilum FL-15, complete genome.